rnacentral:rRNA from 1 species
UACGGAGGGUGCAAGCGUUAUCCGGAAUCAUUGGGUUAAAGGGUCCGCAGGCGGACUUAUAAGUCAGUGGUGAAAGCCUACAGCUUAACUGUAGAACUGCCAUUGAUACUGUAGGUCUUGAAUUCGGUCGAAGUGGGCGGAAUGUGACAUGUAGCGGUGAAAUGCUUAGAUAUGUCACAGAACACCGAUAGCGAAGGCAGCUCACUAGGCCUGAAUUGACGCUCAUGGACGAAAGCGUGGGGAGCAAACAGG